ACAGAGUGUUUUAUACACGUGUACAAAAUGGCAGGCAGCACUGGUGUAAAUCUGAAGUGUAUUUUUAUUUUCUGUGCUUUGUUUUAUGAAUGUUUCUCAAUCACUUUUGGACCAGGGAAAACUUACCAAUACAAAUAUGAAACAAUUGUAAAUUUUAAUGAAGCUGUUUCCUAUGGAAAAACAGUUGGAUUUCAGUUGUCAACAGAAUUUAAAAUUGGAGAGAUAUUCAGAGCUGGAGAUACACAACUUUUGAAAGUCCAGGUCACCACUGCCUCCAUCUCUAGCUUUGCAAGACCUGAAGUCAAAGGAGAACUAGUCAAACUUAUAAAGUAUCCUAUUUAUUUUGAAUAUACCGAUGGAGUUAUUGGGAGGGUAUAUACAUCAGAAGUUGAAUCAAUAUUCUGUGCCAAUGUCAAAAAAGGACUCUUGUCAUUGUUCCAACUCCAAGAAACUGAGGGACAGAGAGAUGAGAUUGAUGUGGCCGGUGAGUGCAGUGCCUAUUAUGCAGUGUAUGGAGGCAGAAUUACCAAAACCAAGCAAAACUGUCAGAAUGUGGAGAUUGCAGGAGAGUACGAAAAUGUCAACAAGAUGUUUGGUGUGUCGCCUGACAACAGUUUUGUGACCCACUAUGACACAGCUGAUGGCAUCAUUAAGUCAGCCACAGGCUCCUCUAGACAUUCCAUCGUCAUCAAUGCCAGACCACAGCUCAGUGCUGCUGUAGCGGCCAUACAGCGGUUACAUUACGUCAGUGAUGCAGCUGGUGCUGCCGCAAUAUCAGCUAAUAAUAUUAAAGAAGCACUUGAUUUAAUUUAUAAAGGUGAGGCCAAAAAGUAUCGGGAAAUGUUACUGCCAAGUGGUCCUGAAGUACAGGAGUGUACAGAAAAUUGUGAAAAACCUGUGUCAAUAUUACAAAAUGUAAAAGAGGACUUAACAAGUGAAAAAUUGUCAAAGAUUGUCUCAGGAAAAGCUUAUUUAAAACUGUUGCGGGCAUUUAGAAAUUCGGGAAAAGCAUCAAUAGAAGAAGUUCUGACUCACAAGGACAGCUAUAACAUCGUAAAACAGCUGAUAGAUGUGGCUGCAGCCACCCAGACCCCUGCAGCCCAUGAAGCACUGAUGCAGCUCAUUACAUUUACUGAUGAAUCUGCCAUUGAUUACCCAGAGAGGUUCAUAUUUGCCUCAGCUUACACAACCCACCCUGGAGAAUACUUAUUAAAGGGCAUGCUUGAGCUGAUGAAGAAGAAGGUGCCAAAUGAAAGUUUACGAGAAUCAAUUGCCCUUGGAAUGGGAGCAGUUGUAAAUUCCUUUUGUAAGCCAUAUGGGAAUUGUUUGGAGUAUUCGACAAUUGCAGAAUAUGUGAAUUAUGUUGAAACUGAAUUGAAAUCAUGUGAAGAAGAGGAGUGUAAACUGUUGUAUGUUAGAUCGAUGGGAAAUGCCGGUCUUGCCAAAUUUUUGCCAUCCCUGCUUAACCAGGCAUUGAACUCAAAGAGUUCCACUGUGUCUCUUACUGCCAUUCAAGGUCUGAGAAGAAUGAAGAUCAGUGGUUUUAAAGACCAGGUGAAUCAAGUAUUGAAGUCUAUAUUUCACCAAAAUAAGAGAAAUUAUGAUUCAAGUGUUCGGAUUGCUGCUUUAGAAAUUCUCUUACAAAAUGGAAUUUCAACAGGAGGGUUGCGUAACAUUGUUUUGUCUGCUAUGUAUGACCAAACUGAAUUUGAAGUUUCAACAUACCUAAUAAAAAGAAUGAAAGACUUGUCAGAAUCAGAUCCAAAGUUCAGGUCAAGCUUAGCUGUAGUUCUGUCAGACCCUAUGGUGAACAACUACAAUCUCUUUGCUCAAAAAGGAAAGUCAAGUGCCUUUACUGGAUACCUUGCAGAGACAUCUAGUGCAAACUGUACCUAUGGUUUGUACCAAGAAAACACUAAAUCAGGAGUCAUGAAGAAAAGUGCUAUGGUUGUCAACGUUCUAAACAAACAAGCAACUCAACCAUUACUAACAUUUGGGAUUUAUGCUGAUGGGAUUGAGGCUUUGGUGGGAGAUGCAGCAGAAGGGGAGGAGUCAACUGAAGCCACGGCUGGGCUCUCGCUGACCAUGAUGGAUGUCUUGCUCCGCCCGGUUGAGUUCUUUCGGGGAAUGAGUGGACUAAUGACAGCUGUAUGGAAUGCUCCUUCUGAGCCUGUCUCUGCUCUGCAGGGAAAUCUUCUACUCCAAGAUUAUUCUCAUAAAAUACACCUGUCCAAUGGUUUGAUUGUGGAUGCCAGUGUUCUUGGUGUGGCUUCCAUUGAUCUGUCAGGGAAGAUAAGCAUCAGUCUGUGGUACAAAAACUCCCACUCAGUCAUCACAAACAGUGGAGCAUUGGUUGUUGAAGGAUCUUUACAAAUUGAUUCAGAAGAACUUAAAUCAGGAAUUCGAUUUUCUACCGAAUCAGAGGCCUUCAUUGACUUCCAGACUGAUGUGGACUUUGCUGAGAUGCCUGUUAAAAUGUGUUUACAAAUGAAGAGACCUCCUAUAUCUUCCAGAAAUUCUGUAGAAAAAUUUGAGAAGUCCAGAUAUUUUAAGAAAAGACUGACAAUUAGAAAGAAGAGAUCAAGUUCUACACCUCCUGUUUCAUACUUCAUUAAUGAGAAGAACUCCUUUAUGUGUACCGCAAUGGACCCUGACCAAUGAGGCACAGAAGACCAUAGCUAUUGACAGACUCCCGUUUCAAAAUGUAUGUCAGUAUGUGAUGAAAUUCAUGAUGGUCAAAAUACUCAUUUGUGCAAACAUCAGUGCAACAUUCAAAUACUCAAUGAAUUCCAAAAUACUCUGUCCAGUAUUAUACAUACAAUCUUUAUUUUUGUUACAAGACCAAUAUUUAUGAAAAAUAAACUAAAAGACAUG
rnacentral:misc_RNA from 1 species